AUUGAACGCUGGCGGCAGGCCUAACACAUGCAAGUCGAACGAGUGGCGGACGGGUGAGUAAUGUCUGGGAAACUGCCUGAUGGAGGGGGAUAACUACUGGAAACGGUAGCUAAUACCGCAUACCAUCGGAUGUGCCCAGAUGGGAUUAGCUAGUAGGUGGGGUAACGGCUCACCUAGGCGACGAUCCCUAGCUGGUAUGAGAGGAUGACCAGCCACCAUGGAACUGCGACACGGUCCAGACUCCUACGGGAGGCCGCAGUGGGGAAUAUUGCACAAUGGGCGCAAGCCUGAUGCAGCCAUGCCGCGUGUAUGAAGAAGGCCUUCGGUUUUGAAAGUACUUUCAGCGUGGAGGCGUUACCCGCAGAAGAAGCACCGGCUAACUCCGUGCCAGCCGCCGCGGUAAUUC
rnacentral:rRNA from 1 species